rnacentral:rRNA from 1 species
UGGUGGAGUGAUUUGUUUGCUUAAUUGCGAUAACGAACGAGACCUUAACCUGCUAAAUAGCCAGGCUAGCUUUGGCUGGUCGCCGGCUUCUUAGAGGGACUAUCGGCUCAAGCCGAUGGAAGUUUGAGGCAAUAACA